rfam:TPA: Bos taurus chromosome 28, whole genome shotgun sequence.
UCCCAGGUGGUCCAGUGGUUAGGACUCAGCACUUCCACUGCUGGGGCCUGGGUUCAGUCCCAGGUUGGGAA